GACGAACGCUGGCGGCGUGCCUAAUACAUGCAAGUCGAGCGGACGGAUGGGAGCUUGCUCCCAGACCGUCAGCGGCGGACGGGUGAGUAACACGUGGGCAACCUGCCUGUAAGACUGGGAUAACUCCGGGAAACCGGGGCUAAUACCGGAUAACUCUUUCCCUCACAUGAGGGAAAGCUGAAAGAUGGCAUCUCGCUAUCACUUAUAGAUGGGCCCGCGGCGCAUUAGCUAGUUGGUGAGGUAACGGCUCACCAAGGCGACGAUGCGUAGCCGACCUGAGAGGGUGAUCGGCCACACUGGGACUGAGACACGGCCCAGACUCCUACGGGAGGCAGCAGUAGGGAAUCUUCCGCAAUGGACGAAAGUCUGACGGAGCAACGCCGCGUGAGUGAUGAAGGUUUUCGGAUCGUAAAACUCUGUUGUCAGGGAAGAACAAGUACCGGAGUAACUGCCGGUACCUUGACGGUACCUGACCAGAAAGCCACGGCUAACUACGUG
rnacentral:rRNA from 1 species